rnacentral:rRNA from 1 species
UUCCCUACGGGGGGCAGCAGUGGGGAAUAUUGGACAAUGGGCGCAAGCCUGAUCCAGCAAUGCCGCGUGGGUGAAGACGGCCUGCGGGUUGUAAAGCCCUUUAGGCGGGGAGGAACGGCGUCGUGCGAACAGUGCGGCGUUCUGACGUUACCCGCGGAAUAAGCACCGGCUAACUCCGUGCCAGCAGCCGCGGUAAUACGGAGGGUGCGAGCGUUAAUCGGAAUUACUGGGCGUAAAGCGUGCGUAGGCGGUUUGGUCAGUCAGCCGUGAAAGCCCCGGGCUUAACCUGGGAAUGGCGGUUGAGACGGCUGGACUUGAGUGGGCUAGAGGAUCGUGGAAUUCCGGGUGUAGCGGUGAAAUGCGUAGAGAUCCGGAGGAACACCGAUGGCGAAGGCAGCGGUCUGGGGCCACACUGACGCUGAGGCACGACAGCGUGGGGAGCAAACAGGAUUAGAUACCCGGGUAGUC